GUUUAUACUGGUUUAUACUGGUUUGGGCGCUGGGGUCACUGGUCUGAACUGGUCUGGACUGGUUUGAACUGGUUUGAACUGGUUUGGACUGGUUUGGACUGGUCUGAACUGGUCUGAACUGGUUUGGACUGGUUUGGACUGGUUUGGACCGGUUUGAACUGGUCUGAACUGGUCUGAACUGGUUUGAACUGGUUUGAACUGGUCUGAACUGGUCUGAACUGGUUUGAACUGGUUUAGACUGGUCUGAACUGGUCUGAACUGGUUUGGACUGGUUUGGACUGGUUUGAACUGGUCUUGACUGGUUUGAACUGGUUUGGACUGGUUUAAACUGGUCUGGACUGGUUUGAGCUGGUUUAUACUGGUCUGGACUGGUUUGAACUGGUUUGAACUGGUUUUUACUGGUUUGAACUGGUUUGAACUGGUUUGAACUGGUUUGAACUGGGAGGGGCUCUGGGCUCACUGGGAGUGGAUUUGGGCUCACUGGUUUGAACUGGGAACUCAAUUCCCCUUACUGGUUUUUACUGGUUUGGCCUUUUUCCUUACUGGUUUGGGCUCUGGGGUUACUGGUUUGAACUGGUUUGAACUGGUUUGAACUGGUUUGAACUGGUUUGAACUGGUUUUUACUGGUUUGAACUGGUUUGAACUGGGAGGGGCUCUGGGCUCACUGGGAGGGGAUUUGGGCUCACUGGUUUGAACUGGGAACUCAAUUCCCCUUACUGGUUCAUACUGGUUUUUGAUUUUCCCCUCCUGCUUGCCCCCGGG
rnacentral:lncRNA from 1 species